UACGUAGGGGGCAAGCGUUAUCCGGAUUUACUGGGUGUAAAGGGAGCGUAGGUGGUAUGUUAAGUCAGAUGUGAAAGCCCGGGGCUCAACCCCGGGACUGCAUUUGAAACUGGCAUGCUUGAGUGCAGGAGAGGUAAGUGGAAUUCCUAGUGUAGCGGUGAAAUGCGUAGAUAUUAGGAGGAACACCAAUUGCGAAGGCAGCUCGCUGGAACGUAACUGACGCUGAGACGCGAAAGCGUGGGGAGCAAACAGGG
rnacentral:rRNA from 1 species